ACUAAAGACAAUAUUUAUGACAAGUUAAUUUUGUCACUGAAUGUUACUUAUUUGUCACCAAUAAUAUUUAUAAAAUGGUUGAACAUAAAAAAUAUUAAUAUUAGGUGACAAUAUAUGUCGUCACUAAUAGUUAGUGAGCGACAUCACUAUCCGUCACUAAAUAUUGCAUUUAUGACGAUGAUUAUUCACUACACACUAAUAUUUAGUGAUCAUAAAGUUUGUCGAUGAAAAUUACAUUUAUAACGAUAAUAUUCAUCACCGAUAUAUUUGUCAUCAUUAUUUGUCACUACAUUAUCGGUCAUAAAACCAACUAGUUUCAAACAACCAACUGAAAUUUAUAAUAAAAGCAAAUCAACGAGAUUUUUAAAUUCUAAUAACGAAAAGACAUUAAUAUUCUCACAUUCGUCAUACAAAAUACCUCCCAAUAUCUCCAAUUUUUUAAGUACAAGACAAAGAGUCUUCAAAUUGAAACUAAAUGAUUCAAUCUAAAAUAAGUACAUUUGAUUAUAUGGUCCACAUCCAAAAUAAAGGAUUGUCGAAUACUAACACUAUGUAGAAAUUG
rnacentral:lncRNA from 1 species